rnacentral:piRNA from 1 species
UGCGAGUUUGAACACUAGGGUGAUACU